UCUUACUUUCACGCCUAACUUCAGGAAUUAUUUGAAGUUUGUUCUUUGUCCCAAGACAUCCCGAUUGAUAUAGUGCAUACCUCCAUUCAUGAGGGUCAUCUUUGCCACACAUGGAAGUAGCCAGCUGUACAAUCUCAUGUGGAACACCAGAACAUGAAUCUGCAAGUAACAUAGGCAUGUCUCGAAGAGAAGGUCCAGAGCCCUCACUGAUCCUUGCUUCAUGCCUGAACAACUGGGAGUGGAAUUCCUACACGGUCCAGAGAGAAACCAGCUUCUGGCACACCAUCUAAGAAAAGUGCAAACCUGCCAAGACUUGCAAAUGUAUGUGACAACUUCGUAGCCCUUCUACUCACAUCAUCAACUCUAGAAAGAUCACAGUUAACAACUGCAACAACAUACAUCAUCUUGAAAAUUCUUAAUGGUGAACACACAAGGGGAAAGGACCCAGAAAACAUAAUCAAACAUGCCUAUCGCACAAUUGUGCAAGUGCUUCAUCAAAUGGGUUGUCAGCUGUCCCUCAUUUUCAGGUUUUGUUGUCCCGGGUUGUUGCCUCUUGUGGUGCUGCCAUCGCUCUGCUGUUGCUUGCCAUUUUUUGAUUGUUGUCGGUCUCUACUUUGUCGAACCCCAUAACUGGUGUUUUGUUUAAUCGUCUUCUACUUGCAAGAUUUCUGGCGAUUUGUUUGCUGCGUCAAUCGUUCAUUCCUAGUAAUUCGUUGAAUUUCAAAUUCAAUGGUAGUAUCUUUCUCUUGUGUUUGAGUAGUUGAUUUUCUAUCGUCGGCAAAAUCUAUUGUUAAUUCUAAUUUUGAAGUGGCGUUGGUACUAAAUGAAGUUCAUCCUUUGUUGAUUUCAUUAUCUAUUAGGUGUUAAUGUUCAAUCCUAUUACUUUAAUCAAUUUUUUUUUUUUGUUUUUUUUUUGGUUCAUAUUGUCUUCGAAUUUUUACUAGAAUAUUUUAGUUCAGGUUGAUCUUUAUCAGUUCUGAUGAUUAUAUUUGAUGGUUUUUAGCAUGAUAAUAUUCUAUGAUUUUGAUUUACAGUAGACUUAGAGAUUGGGAUUAGUAGUUUCUUUAGCAUUUGAUAUAUUUAUAUUGUUAGUUUUAUUCUUAUUUAGAAGGAUAAGUUUUAGGAUUAGUAGGAUUAGUUUUAGGAUUAGUUGUAGUUUUAGGAUUAGCAGGGGCUGUCAUUAAAAGGUACUAGUAAUUGAGUAGGUCACCUGUAUGUAGAAGUUUUUACUCCUUGUUGGUGCAUGUACAGCUUCAGCCAGUUGUAAUUUUUUUUUUAAAAUAAAAAACUAGCAAAUGCUCCGGUUGUUUAGAAAAAACCGGAGCAUUUGUGAUACAAAUGCUCCAUUUUUUCCUUAACAACCGGAGCAUUUAACAAUCAAAUGCUCCGGUUUUUUAAACAACCGGAGCAUUUGAGACACCAAAUGCUCCGGUUGAAACCGGAGCAUUUGCAAAACGCUCAAAUGCUCGUAUGGCUUCUGCUACGGGUCAAAUACGGAGCAUUUGUGGGCUUUUCAACCGGAGCAAUUGAUGUUUUUUCCACUAGUGAAGAGUUAUGUACCGGGGGUAUUAUAGCUAACGUUGUAAUUAACCUUGUACCCAAAUUCAGAUAACGAGAGUAUAGUAGUUGGAGUAUCUGAUUAUACUGUGUAUUUGGUGUAUAUUUAUGUUUUAAGAAAGGUUUAUUCUUUUUAGUUGGGUGAAAUGAUUUUAUAGUAUUAUAACUACUAUUACUUUGAGGAGAAUAAAGAUCGUUGAAAUGAGACUUUUGGAUUGCGAUCCUAGUUUCUGCUGAUUUUAGGUGUAAGGCCUGAAGGGCAUCCUUAUUAUUUAUAUUUGAUGAAUAAAUUAUUGUAGUUAUUUAUUUGUAGAAAUGUUUUUAUUGAGAUUAGAUAUCCAGUGGGAUAGAUGUAGUCCCCGGUGAAGAACAUGCCAACCACAUUGGUUGCGAUUUAGGGGUAUUACCUGGGUUAAUUAUUGUCGUCCGAGAGGUUGGGAAGUAAUGAGCUGGGUACUAUCCUGCAUCGGGAGUUUGGUCAUUCUUAGACACAGGCAGUAGGGAACGUAAGCUCAUAGGUUGUCUGGAGAUUUCGAUCUGACAAACCUUAGGAAGUGGGUUGCGAUCCACUGGCGUUCUGCUCUUUCUCAAAAGUUAUUUAUAAUAUUUUGUUAAAUUAUUUUGGAGGCUUAUGUUAUGGAUCUUGUAUGCUUAUAUUAAAUUUAUUAAUCAUGAUUUACUUUAUUUAACCAUGUUAAACUGUUAGCAGUUGUUUCGUUGUUAUUUGGUUUAGUUGAUAUUUUAUGUUGAUUGAGACUUAUUUAUUAAUGCUUGAUAACUCCUAUGUGGGUCCUAAUUAAGCUGGGAGAGCUGUUAGUUACUCCCCACUGAUUGUGGAUAUUUGUUGUAUAUUUUUGCAGGUUAUGUUGAUGAGAAUCUUAUUUAAUUUGGUUUUGGGCUCGGGUUAAGUUGUGAGCAUUAAAAUGUUAGAUGUUUUAGGCCUAGACUCUUAUAUCAAUUUAAGAGUUAGUUUUCUCUUUUGGCUAUCAAUUUAAUUUAUUUAUACUAUUUAUUUAUGUUGGUUUUUAUCACUUAGAUAUUUAGACGCAUUUCUUGUAGUAGUGACAUUCCCAUAAGACGAUGUUUCCGCCAUCGUCCUAUACUUCUAUUAUUAUUAUUUCUUU